rnacentral:rRNA from 1 species
GACGAACGCUGGCGGCGUGCUUAACACAUGCAAGUCGAACGGAAAGGCCCUGCUUUUAUGGGGUGCUCGAGUGGCGAACGGGUGAGUAACACGUGAGUAACCUGCCCUUGACUUUGGGAUAACUUCAGGAAACUGGGGCUAAUACCGGAUAGGAGCUCCUGCUGCAUGGUGGGGGUUGGAAAGUUUCGGCGGUUGGGGAUGGACUCGCGGCUUAUCAGCUUGUUGGUGGGGUAGUGGCUUACCAAGGCUUUGACGGGUAGCCGGCCUGAGAGGGUGACCGGCCACAUUGGGACUGAGAUACGGCCCAGACUCCUACGGGAGGCAGCAGUGGGGAAUAUCGCACAAUGGGCGGAAGCCUGAUGCAGCAACGCCGCGUGCGGGAUGACGGCCUUCGGGUUGUAAACCGCUUUCGCCUGUGACGAAGCGUGAGUGACGGUAAUGGGUAAAGAAGCACCGGCUAACUACGUG